ensembl:lncRNA
UAAAGAUCAUCAAGGACAACAACCCCCCGAGCCACUACCUGUUCACCCCGCUAUCAUCCAGAAGGCGAGGUCAGUACAGGUGCAUCAAAGCAGGGACCGAGAGACUGAAAAAAAGCUGUGAAGCGACUCUCCGCAUCUAACCUGACAGAGCUUGAGAGGAUCUGCAGAGAAGAAUGGGAAACUCCUCAAAUACAAGUGUUGUAGCAUCAGACCCAAGAAGACUUGAGGCUGUAAUCGCUGCCAAAGGUGCUUCAACAAAGGACUGAGUGAAGGGUCUGAAUACUUUCAGAAUGCACUGUACUUCUAUUGACAGCUGUAUGGUCACACACCAGAGACACUUGUAGAGCCAUACACACACUUCCUGCAACCUCAUUUAUUUUCUCACAUCUGUUUCUCUUUCAUCCCUUCCUCGCUCUCUCGCUCCUUACUCCCUUGUUCCUGCAGUUCAGAGGAAGAGGUCGGCGAAGAGAAGGCCAAGUCCAAUAAAGAGGCCGUUCCCAAAGGAAUCGACGAGGCAUCGGAGAGUGAGGAAGAGAGCGAGGAGGAGAAACAGAACGAGGAAGAGGGGAAAGAGGAGGAGGAGGAAGGGAAGAAGACCCCAGUCCAGACGAAGAAGAAGAGAGGUAGCAGUUUUUCUUCUUCUUUAGAAUCUUUACUGAUCAGGUAUCACAGGGAAGUGGCAAGACUUGAACCCACAGAAAUAUACUGUGUUUUUGUUGAAGGGGGCUAUGAUGUGAUAAUGUUGUGUGUUUUUGUUGAAGGGGGCUAUGAUGUGAUAAUGUUGUGUGUUUUUGUUUUGAUGGGGGCUAUGAUGUGAUAAUGUUGUGUGUUUUUGUUGAAGGGGGCUAUGAUGUGAUAAUGUUGUGUGUUUUUGUUGAAGGGGGCUAUGAUGUGAUAAUGUUGUGUGUUUUUGUUGAAGGGGGCUAUGAUGUGAUAAUGUUGUGUGUUUUUGUUGAAGGGGGCUAUGAUGUGAUAAUGUUGUGUGUGUGUUUCAGACAGCAGCGGUGAGUCGGACACUUCGGAGGACAGCGACAUCGAUGGAGAGGCAGCCUCCGCUCUCUUCAUGGUGGUGUGUGUGUGUGAGAGUGUUAGUUUGUGUGUGGUCCCUUUUGUAGUGCCACUGUUCAAUGUCAACCCCAUUUCCCUGUCUUUCUUGCAGAGAUGGAGUCUUGAUAUCGUGUUCUUGAUCUGGGUUACGGUGCCUAAGAUCUGGGGCUUUUCUAAAAGUCUUGAACAAGACUCUGGUAGUUGAUGAACCUGAUACCAUAUUUUGUAGUUUCUAUGUGGCACAAAAGGGGUGACACAACACACAAUUUCCAGGGUAUCUUGCUUCCCUAGUGUGGCAGCAGUGUGGGCACAAAAACAGGCCUUUUUAACCCUUUGAUGUGGUUGGUGUUGGUCUGACUCUCUAUCUUGGUAUUCCACAUUUCAACUGGUGUUGGUGUGAUAAUGGUCUGCAAACACUGGGUCUUUCUUGGUCUGGGUCCUGAGAGGUUGAGAGUGGCUCUCGUGGACAAUGCUCUUGACUACCACUCUUAACGUUCCCCAUUUCCUCACUACCCCCCCCCCCCCCCCCCCCCCCCCCCAGAAGAAGCGUACUCCUCCUAAGCGCGGUGGUGGGCGUGGCUCUGGAGGCAGCUCCAGGACUGGCAGUCGCCCUGGAACACAGAC